UACAGAGGGUGCAAGCGUUGUUCGGAAUUAUUGGGCGUAAAGCGCGUGUAGGCGGCCCUGCAAGUCGGGUGUGAAAUCCCACGGCUCAACCGUGGAAGUGCACUCGAAACUGCAGGGCUAGAGUCCUGGAGAGGAAGGUGGAAUGCUUGGUGUAGAGGUGAAAUUCGUAGAUAUCAAGCGGAACACCGGUGGCGAAGGCGGCCUUCUGGACAGUGACUGACGCUGAGACGCGAAAGCGUGGGGAGCAAACAGG
rnacentral:rRNA from 1 species